rnacentral:rRNA from 1 species
UACGUAGGGACCAAGCGUUGUUCGGAUUUACUGGGCGUAAAGAGCGCGCAGGCGGUCGUUCAAGUCGCGUGUGAAAGCCCCCCGGCUCAACUGGGGAGGGUCACGCGAUACUGAUCGACUCGAAGGCAGGAGAGGGUAGUGGAAUUCCCGGUGUAGUGGUGAAAUGCGUAGAUAUCGGGAGGAACACCAGUGGCGAAGGCGACUACCUGGCCUGUUCUUGACGCUGAGGCGCGAAAGCUAGGGGAGCAAACGGGG